rnacentral:rRNA from 1 species
UACGAAGGACCCGAGCGUUAUCCGGAUUUAUUGGGUUUAAAGGGUGCGUAGGCGGACAUGCAAGUCAGUGGUGAAAUCUCCCUGCUCAACAGGGAAACUGCCAUUGAAACUAUGUGUCUUGAGUACAUUUGAGGCGGGCGGAAUGUGUCAUGUAGAGGUGAAAUUCUUAGAUAUGACACAGAACACCAAUU